rnacentral:lncRNA from 1 species
GCUGCAGCGACGCGACGCGCAAGUUGCCAGCGAUUCUUUGUUCUUUUUCUUCCGAGGCCAAGAUCGAUUUGCUCCCCCGCCCCUCCCUUCUUGGACCGUGCUUGUUAUUGAGCCUGUAAACUACAUUUCCCAAGAUGCCACGCGCAAGAUGGCGCCCAUUCAUUUUUCGCGUGCCGGGAAGCGAAAUUACCACUCGGGGCAUAAACGUGACAGGGGCUGAGGUGGAAGGAUCGCUUGAGUCCAGGACUUCAAGACCAGCCUGGGCAAUAUGGUGAGAUCCCCGUCUCUACAAAUAAUAAAAAUAGCCGGGCGUGGUGGUGUGUGCGAGUAGUUCCAGCUACUUGGGAGGCUGAGGUGGGAGGAUUGCAUGAGCCUGGGAGGUCAAGGCUGCAGUGAGCCUUGAUCUUGCCACUGCACUCCACUGUGGGUGACAGAGUGAGACCCUGUCUCAACAAACAAACAAAACCAGUUGUUAAACCAGCUGUUUAACAACCAGUUUGCAAAAUUUCUGAAAAUUGAACAGCUCCUCCCAACCUGUAUAAGUUGGCUCCAGCAUGUCCUUCCCUUUGUUCAUUCAUUUUAAUCCUGGCAACAUGCAUAUGAGUAUUAGCCAGGGGCGGCGGCAUGUGCCUUUAGUCCCAGCUACUCCAGAGGCUGAGGUGGGAGGAUCCCUGGAGCCCAGGGGUUUGAAUCUAGUCUGGGCAACAUAGCGAGAACCCAUGUCUCUUUAAAAAAUAAAAGGGCUGGAUGCAGUGGCUCACGCCUAUAAUCCCAGAACUUUGGGAGGGCGAGGCGGGGGGAUCACUUGAGGUCAGGAGUUGGAGACCAGCCUGGCCAACAUAGUGCAACCCCGUCUCUACUAAAAAUACAAAAAUUAGCUGGGCGUGGUGAUGCGCACCUCUAGUCCCAGCUACUCAGGAGGCCAAGGUGGGAGGAUCACUUGAACCUGGGAGGUGGAGGUUGCAGUGAGCCGACAUCGUGCUACUGCACUCCAGCUUGGGCGACAGAGUGAGACCCUGUCUCAAGAAAAAAAAAAAAAACAGAAUGAUUGAUUCCUUAGCACACGAGCUUCACCAGGCAGGGAUUCCUGUUCUGUCAUGUUCACUGCUGCCUCCCAGUGCCUGGAACAGGGGUG